GCACCACCCCAUCAUCACGAUUCCUUCCGACGAUAUUACUCAGCAGCGGCUCUUCCAGAACCGAGUGGGAGCAGAAUUAAAAUGAGAGAGGAAAACUCAUCAGCGAGCGAGAAGGGGAGAUCAAAUACGCCAAUCAAAAGAUGAGGAUACCACUCUGAAGGAAAUCUGCAGAGGAAAACACUGAGUCACCAUUUGAGUUUGUUUGUGUCUAGUAGAGCAGGAGCAACAAAUGAUAGACAAUCGUGUGAUCGUCGGCUCUGAAUGCACUGGAUUACAGGGUUAGAGUGCAAACUCUUGAUGUGCUCAUAUCAAACACCAGGUCCAUGAACACAAACAGACGCCACCACUGCAGCAUUUCAGCGUGAAGUCACAUCCAAUAUGCGGCUGCGUCUGGACAAGACUGCCUACUUAGAAAGAGGGGAAUGCAGAUACACAAAGAAUUUAUGGUGGAUAUAGUGGAUGGACUACUUGAAGAAAAAAAUGAAAAUUGGCAUAAAAUGUACUCAUCCAAGAUGUAGAUGAGUUUGU